rnacentral:rRNA from 1 species
AUUGAACGCUGGCGGCAGGCCUAACACAUGCAAGUCGAGCGAGCGGCGGACGGGUGAGUAAUGUCUGGGAAACUGCCUGAUGGAGGGGGAUAACUACUGGAAACGGUAGCUAAUACCGCAUACUAUCAGAUGUGCCCAUAUGGGAUUGGCUAGUAGGUGGGGUAACGGCUCACCUAGGCCACGAUCCCUAGCUGGUCUGAGAGGAUGACCAGACCAACUGGAACUGAGGAACGGGCCAGCCUCCUUAGGGAGGCAGGCGGGGGGAAUAUUUCCCAAUGGGCCCAAGCCUGUAGCAGCCAUUCCCCGUGUUUGAAAAAGGCCUUCGGGUUUGAAAGCACUUUCAGCUGGGAGGCGUUACCCACAGAAGAAGCACCGGCUAACUCCGUGCCAGCAGCCGCGGUAAUUC